UCUUGUUCGAAAUUCAAAUCUCAUUACUAGCCUUUAUGAAAAUCUUAUUAGGAACUUUAUCCAUAGUUUAUGAGUUCAGUGAGUUAAAUUUGUUAUAAUUAACUUUAAAAUUAACAGCGAUCGAGUUUAAACAUGACGUUAAAAUAACUGACAUUGAUGGUAAAAUAAUUGUUAUUUACGAAGAAUUGAAGGCGGCAUCCAAGAUAAUGAAUCGGGAUUCGAAGAAGA